rnacentral:lncRNA from 1 species
AAGAGUUUGUCAGGGCUCCGCGGACUCGGGGGGCGCUUCUGAAGGGGCCUGUGUUCCCCGGCACGGCCAGGCACAGCUGGCCAGACGGAAAACACCGGCCGGCCCCCCAGGAGCUCCUCGCCGCCUGAAGAUGGACACAGAGGCUGACAGUUGCAGCUUAGAGGAGGUCCCGUGCCUGUGACCACCCCUGAGUGGCUUCCAGAAGCAGCCGGCAGAGGGUCAUUUGCCCUACUGCCAAGCACCCCCCGACCCCAUGCAACAUAAGGUCCUCAAGAGGAACCCACCUGAUGCUCCUGGACUUGGCGGUCCUCAGAUCUGCAGGCCAGAUGAGCUCCUGCAGUUUGUAAUUCACCGGUGUGCCGGCGUUACAGCAGGAGAAGGAGGACCGAAGUGCAUCGCCGGGAGCGCCUCCGGGGCGUCCAAGCCAGAUCGGAACACCAGCGAGGACUCGGGAAGGAGGCAAAGAAAAUAUCUGACAGCAAGCAGCCAAGGCGGCGGUGAGGACAGCCUUACUCGGCACAGCACAGGCGGGCAGCACCCUUGCCGGCGGCCCAGAGACCUAGCCCAGUCUGUGCCCUGUGCCCUUCCCUGUGGCCAGCAGUGGGAAGACGCCUGCUGUCCUCCACACACCCUCGGACCAGA